GUGUUACAUCAGUAGCACAUAUGCCAAAAUUGGAAUCAUACAGAGAAGAUUAGCAUUGCCCCGGCGCAAGGAUGACAUGCAUAUUCGUGAAGCAUUCCAGAUUUUC